rnacentral:rRNA from 1 species
GACGAACGCUGGCGGCGUGCUUAACACAUGCAAGUCGAACGGAAAGGCCCUGCUUUUGUGGGGUGCUCGAGUGGCGAACGGGUGAGUAACACGUGAGUAACCUGCCCUUGACUUUGGGAUAACUUCAGGAAACUGGGGCUAAUACCGGAUAGGAGCUCCUGCUGCAUGGUGGGGGUUGGAAAGUUUCGGCGGUUGGGGAUGGACUCGCGGCUUAUCAGCUUGUUGGUGGGGUAGUGGCUUACCAAGGCUUUGACGGGUAGCCGGCCUGAGAGGGUGACCGGCCACAUUGGGACUGAGGUACGGCCCAGACUCCUACGGGAGGCAGCAGUGGGGAAUAUUGCAGAAUGGGCGGAAGUCUGAUGCAGAAACGCCGCGUGCGGGAUGACGGCCUUCGGGUUGUAAACCGCUGUCGCCUGUGACGAAGCGUGAGUGACGGUAAUGGGUAAAGAAGCACCGGCUAACUACGUG